UAUCUACUCCCUCCGUUCCGAAUUACUUGUCGUAGGUAUGGAUGUAUCUAGAUGUAUUUUAGUUCUAGAUACAUUCAUUUCUACGACGAGUAAUUUGGAACGGAGGGAGUAUAAA
rnacentral:pre_miRNA from 1 species